UACGAACUGUGCGAACGUUAUUCGGAAUCACUGGGCUUAAAGGGUGCGUAGGCGGUUCGUUAAGUCAGGUGUGAAAUCCCUCGGCUCAACCGGGGAAUUGCGCUUGAAACUAGCGGGCUGGAGCGAGGCAGGGGUAUGUGGAACUUCCGGUGGAGCGGUGAAAUGUGUAGAUAUCGGAAGGAACGCCGGUGGCGAAAGCGGCAUACUGGGCCUUGUCUGACGCUGAGGCACGAAAGCUAGGGGAGUGAACGGGAUUAGAUACCCCGGUAAUCCUAGCCGUAAACACUGAGCACUGGAGGGGAGGGGCUUCGGCCUUUUCCCUCGCAGCGAAAGCGUUAAGUGCUCCGCCUGGGGAGUAUGGUCGCAAGGCUGAA
rnacentral:rRNA from 1 species